rnacentral:misc_RNA from 1 species
ACGAGUUUUAAUUGUUAGGUUAGAGUUGAGCUGGUUAAUCUAAUUAAUAUGUGCUUACUCUAAUCGAAACAAGUCCACUCAUUACUUAACACUUGUGAACUUAUUCAUUACAAACAUUAUUAUUUGUUAUUGGAACGUUUGAUUAUUAAAAGUUAAUACAACUUUCAACAACGGAUCUCUGGCUCUCGCAUCGAUGAAGAACGCAGCGAAAUGCGAUAAGUAAUGUGAAUUGCAGAAUUCACAUUACUUAUCGCAUUUCGCUGCGUUCUUCAUCGAUGCGAGAGCCAAGAGAUCCGUUGUUGAAAGUUGUAUUAACUUUUUAAUAAUCAAACGUUCCAAUAACAAAUAAUAAUGUUUGUAAUGAAUAAGUUCACAAGUGUUACGUAAUGAGUGGACUUAUUCAUUACAAACAUUAUUAUUUGUUAUUGGAACGUUUGAUUAUUAAAAGUUAAUA